rnacentral:lncRNA from 1 species
AAAUUGUUUAGAAAAGAUAUUAUCUUAUUUUUAAGAUUUGUUUAAAUUUUAAAGAUAUUAUCUUAUUUUUAAGAUUUGUUUAAAUUUUAAAGAUAUUAUUUAUAAAUUAUUGACUUGUUUCCUCAUUUAAUUGGAUUAGAAUGUGAUGUCUAUAAAUAUGGAGUUUUAUACCAGAAGAAGUAUAAAACCUGAGUCACCAAUCUAA